rnacentral:lncRNA from 1 species
UGUCCCUUCCUCCUUUGCCCAAACCCUAAGAUUGAUUUUCUAUUCGUACCUACUGGUUUGGAUGCAGCAUAUGCAGGAUGAGGAUGUCGGGCGGCCGUACAGGAAGUUCCUCUGAGCAGCGUCACAACCUGCAGGAGGAUUCCAUUCGGGUUUGCACCAGUUUUGUUUGCCUGAAUCUGAUGGAUCAUUUUGGAUUGUUGAACUGUUGUGUCAGAUCCAAAUGAAUACGGUGUAAUGACUCGUAUUUUCAAUUACUAAAAUUCAACAUGUUUGAAUUGAUUUGGUCACUUUUUAUGAUAAAUAGCAGCAUUGUCAUGCACUACUGUUUAUGACUUUAUGCAUGCGCUGUGGUGGACUCUAGGAUAUUCAUGGAGGGUAAGUCAGUUAUUCAAUUUACUCUUGGAUUGGGGUGUGCGGGUUGCUUUGUGAGGUUACGGUAUGGUGGUAUUCUACAGUAGUGAUUGAAUUUUGCAGGAGAGAGGCUGUUGAAAAGAUAUAGUUAGGAUUCGGUUUGGUGGUUUGGAUUUGAUAGAUUUUUUGGGCGAAUUUUCUUCAACUAUUCGCAAAAUAUGAUCAUUCUUUUUUUACUUGUCCUUGAUGCACCAGUGCUAUCGAUCUUGGUGUACACAGGAUUGUGCUGCUUCCGGUUCUCCUCCCAGUUGCUGCAAUUGGUUGUGCCCUAGCUACCUCCCUACCAACAAAUCUGCCCAAUCGGCU